rnacentral:rRNA from 1 species
GAUGAACGCUGGCGGCGUGCCUAAUACAUGCAAGUCGAACGCACAGCGAAAGGUGCUUGCACCUUUCAAGUGAGUGGCGAACGGGUGAGUAACACGUGGACAACCUGCCUCAAGGCUGGGGAUAACAUUUGGAAACAGAUGCUAAUACCGAAUAAAACUUAGUGUCGCAUGACAAAAAGUUAAAAGGCGCUUCGGCGUCACCUAGAGAUGGAUCCGCGGUGCAUUAGUUAGUUGGUGGGGUAAAGGCCUACCAAGACAAUGAUGCAUAGCCGAGUUGAGAGACUGAUCGGCCACAUUGGGACUGAGACACGGCCCAAACUCCUACGGGAGGCUGCAGUAGGGAAUCUUCCACAAUGGGCGAAAGCCUGAUGGAGCAACGCCGCGUGUGUGAUGAAGGCUUUCGGGUCGUAAAGCACUGUUGUAUGGGAAGAACAGCUAGAAUAGGAAAUGAUUUUAGUUUGACGGUACCAUACCAGAAAGGGACGGCUAAAUACGUGCCAGCAGCCGCGGUAAUACGUAUGUCCCGAGCGUUAUCCGGAUUUAUUGGGCGUAAAGCGAGCGCAGACGGUUUAUUAAGUCUGAUGUGAAAGCCCGGAGCUCAACUCCGGAAUGGCAUUGGAAACUGGUUAACUUGAGUGCAGUAGAGGUAAGUGGAACUCCAUGUGUAGCGGUGGAAUGCGUAGAUAUAUGGAAGAACACCAGUGGCGAAGGCGGCUUUCUGGACUGCAACUGACGUUGAGGCUCGAAAGUGUGGGUAGCAAACAGGAUUAGAUACCCUGGUAGUCCACACCGUAAACGAUGAACACUAGGUGUUAGGAGGUUUCCGCCCCUUAGUGCCGAAGCUAACGCAUUAAGUGUUCCGCCUGGGGAGUACGACCGCAAGGUUGAAACUCAAAGGAAUUGACGGGGACCCGCACAAGCGGUGGAGCAUGUGGUUUGAUUCGAAGCAACGCGAAGAACCUUACCAGGUCUUGACAUCCUUUGAAGCUUUUAGAGAUAGAAGUGUUCUCUUCGGAGACAAAGUGACAGGUGGUGCAUGGUCGUCGUCAGCUCGUGUCGUGAGAUGUUGGGUUAAGUCCCGCAACGAGCGCAACCCUUAUUGUUAGUUGCCAGCAUUCAGAUGGGCACUCUAGCGAGACUGCCGGUGACAAACCGGAGGAAGGCGGGACGACGUCAGAUCAUCAUGCCCCUUAUGACCUGGGCUACACACGUGCUACAAUGGCGUAUACAACGAGUUGCCAACCCGCGAGGGUGAGCUAAUCUCUUAAAGUACGUCUCAGUUCGGAUUGUAGUCUGCAACUCGACUACAUGAAGUCGGAAUCGCUAGUAAUCGCGGAUCAGCACGCCGCGGUGAAUACGUUCCCGGGUCUUGUACACACCGCCCGUCACACCAUGGGAGUUUGUAAUGCCCAAAGCCGGUGGCCUAACCUUUUAGGAAGGAGCCGUCUAAGGCAGGACAGAUGACUGGGGUG